UACGAAGGGGGCUAGCGUUGCUCGGAAUCACUGGGCGUAAAGCGCACGUAGGCGGGCUCUUAAGUCGGUGGUGAAAUCCUGGAGCUCAACUCCAGAACUGCCUCCGAUACUGAGAGUCUUCGAGUCCGGGAGAGGUGAGUGGAACUGCGAGUGUAGAGGUGAAAUUCGUAGAUAUUCGCAAGAACACCAGUGGCGAAGGCGGCUCACUGGCCCGGUACUGACGCUGAGGUGCGAAAGCGUGGGGAGCGAACAGG
rnacentral:rRNA from 1 species